CUGGCAGUGUUGAACUGUAUUAACCAGUAAUGCAGAACUCCGUAUUAUUCCUUUCUGAAGAGCUGGUAACAGAUGUGUAACUUCAUCAAAAAAGAUAUCAGGCUGAAGUUCCUACCCAGACCAUCUGUUAUCUCCCCUUUUUGUGCCAGUUCCUCCUAAACUGCACCAGAUUUUUUUUGUUUGUUUGUUUGUUCCUUAGAUGCUGCAGCCUCUUCGGGCAGCCAUUGCUACUCCCUUUUGACUGAAUCAGAUGAUACAAGAAAGACUCUACCUGGGAAGUGUGAGGACACAGGACUUCCCAUUGUGAACAGAAAGGAAAAAGGAGACAGUGAAUCAGGGACACAUAAUGACGUGUUAUAUUAUAGAAAUGUUUUUAAAGGUGACCGGCCGUUCACUAAUUCUGAACUGAAACUGAAGUCAAUGAGUAGAACUGCUGGCAUCAGGAUUAAAAAAAAAGAGAGAGAAGCAAGAGCUGGGCAGAAUCAAAUGUAAAAAAGAGAGAUAGGUAGUGGAAAGAUUGUGUGGAAGUUAAUGGCAAAUAAAAAUGUAGGAGACCAAAGUAGAACAGUAAAUACUGUCAAAACAAGGCCAUAUAGGCUGAACUGUGGCUUUGCCAAAAACUCUGCAUAUCGGGCAGUGAGUUAUUACACUGCCCGAGGAGCACAGUAGGAAGCAGAGUCAGAGUUUGCCUCCUGAUUCCACCCCCCUGAUUUAUGAAUGACAAUCUGUGUCUGCCCAAUACCAGGCACAACAGGUACAGCUGCAAAGACUCUGCCCAUUCCCACCUCCUCCUGCAAAUUCCCCACUUAUACAUAUGGGGAGGAACUUUUAAGUGUCUUCAUGGAAGCCGUUCGCCUAUCUGCCAGCAGAUGACUGACCACCAUCUUGCCCCAAGUUAAAAAAGUAAAAAACUUCUUUCCCCAUGGUGGUAAAAUAAGUAUUCUGGUGGUCCCAUUCCAAUACACAUUGAUUCAUCAUAAACUGAUUAAGGAAUCUGUCAUCAUAUUCUUUGCACUAAGCUUUAGGCUGUGCGGUGUAGCAGUACAAACUUAAAAACCUGCAGUGACUCUCAGCAAGGUGGGCAGGAUUCCCCCUAAAGGCCACCUAGAGGAUCAGAAGACUUGAAGUGAUAGGUAAGGCAUUUUCACUGUCAAAAAGGAGCAUCAUCAGGAAAUUAUGGAGUCUUUUUUUAGGGGGUAACUUAACAUUUCAAAACUGGUCUAAAAAUGAAUGUUGUGGAAUGUUUCAUAUUUAACUUCUGCUGACAAUUUGCUUUAGCUUUUAGUGACACUUGGUUUUAUGGACAUGUUAUUCCAUGGAGUAAAUGUUUAAGAUAUUAUUUUGCAUGAGUGGAAAGCUAGCUUUAAGCUAGCUCUGAAUAGCUGUAUAAUAUUAAUGUUCCUUCAACACAUCAGUAAUUUAAUUCAUUACUUUCGUUUAAUGUAACUAUUCACACGGGAGUUGGGUAUAAUUAUCUUUUAGUCCCUGACUUUACACCUCCGAGACUACAAAUCAAUGCUUGGUGAGGCCGACGACAAUUAUUCUAAUCAAAGAGAUGUAAUACAUGCAAAGUUAGUUGGCUUCAUUUCUUAGAGGGCUAAAGACCACUGUACCUCCUAGAACUAUAUUGAGGUUUGGCACAAUUUGUGAGUUGGCAGGCUUUGCUCAGAAGAGACACAAACCUAAAUGAGCCUGAGCCUGAACAGAAAAAUACACUUUCACCCCACUGGAGGGCUGAGGUGCACAGACAAGAGCAGUUAAUGAAAAUCUGCUUUGUGUCUACCUCCACUAUACCUGCCCUUUGGAUAAUUUUAGACCUUGGACUCUGGUGUCCUCAACCCAAGCUUUGGAAUCCAGAUGCCUCUGAGAAAGAGUAAAUGUGUUGUUUGAAGGCAGUGUGUAGAUUUAGCUGAAAACAAAGGUUGUCAGUGCAUUCUAAUAAAGUAGAUUGUUCCGAGUAAUGAAAAGCCUGCAUAAACUGACAUUGGGAGGAGUCAGUCACUCAUCUGUUUUAUCUUUUGCUUUCUGUUAUUGUAUUAAAUAUCUUUCACGGAAUCCUUCUUAACUUCUGUCUAAAAUAAAAUGAGACCUAAAAUAAUGGAUUUAAAUAUUUGAUCUUCAUAAAAUGCCAGUGUAAACACAUCUAAAUUUUCAGAAACUCAUCUACAAUGUUAAACUCUUCUGUUUCACACUGUUGCUAUGAUGAUUGUACAGACAGCACUAAAAUCACAAAUAAUGAAAAAGUCAAUGAAAAAACAAUCACGCAGCAUAUUUUUUUCUGUAGAUUCCUAGAAGCCAUAUUAAAACAUCACAUGAUCAUGUAGCAAUAAAAUCCCAAGAUACUUUCAGAUAACUAUACUCAGAUGGGCAAAAGCAUUUAUUUCAGAUCCAAAGGAUUUAUUAUAUAUUUGCUAUUAUUUGGGUUAGCACUGAAAAUAUCCUUGGUCCUAUAUAAUACCCAAAUAUCAAGAUAAUCUUUGUCCUGGAGAUCUUGCAAUUUAGAAGAGAGACAUAAAAUAAAAUGGAUGGGAAUAUCUAGAGUUAGGAGGUAUCCAAAGUUGGGAAACUUUACUUUUCUAUUCUCCUCCCCUGCCUUCUUCCCACUUUAAUCUAACCUUUUUAUCCCCCAAAGAGUCAGUUGAAGCUUCCUUGCUGUAAGGAAGUUAGUUCAGAUGAGAGAUAGAUAGGAGAUCAAGGAAGUUGUUGAUAUACUUAUUGGGGUUGGCAUGCACACUUUCCUAGCUGAGGUGGGGUGGCUUGUCUGAGGUUAGGUUAGUUCAUUUGCUAGAUAUUUGACAUAGUCAGAUUAUGUAUCUCGUUUGGUUGGCUUUUCUUUCAGAUAUUUAAAGUACUGUGGCUUGUGUAUGGUACAUGGCUGUCUUUGAUAGAUGCAUUAUAAAUUAUUUAAAUAAAUGACAAACAAGCCUGACCUGCUUAUUUGCCAAACCCUCUUACAUUGAGAUGUACUAUGUAAGUUACAGAGAAGCUGCCGAAGUUUAAUUUGCAUAAGGUUCUACAGAAGCUAAAGCAGAUGCUUUCCUGGAGUUCGGCUUUGAAUUAUUGUGUUCAAAUGUACCUCCCAAAUCAUCUGAACUUCAACUAGAUUUUGCUUUAUUUUAGAUGUGAAAAUAUCAACUUUUGUUUCAGUUCCACCAGAAACCAUGAGUCAGGUUAAGUUUACUUGAAAUUAGUCCUCUUGGCCAAGGUUAGUUGACUAUCAUGACUGUGAACCAUGAAGAGCCAUUUGGUGGCCCUGGCACAAGGUUAAGAUUACAUAUGAUCUAUAGUCUGUCCUGUAUUGCAGGUUAAUCCACUUUGCAUAGUGCAAAGCGAACAGAAGUCACUGAGGACUAGUAAAGCUCUAUGCUAUAGAUUCUUUAAAAGUGGUAGGGCUACAAAGACUGGUAACAGCUAGAGACCCUGUUAGUCACACACAAGUAUGUUUUGAACAAUCCUGUUGAUUUGUUUUCUAAAACUGGACAUUCUUGUCUUUUGAGGCACACUGCAAUGAAAAACCUCAGGCAAAAACAACUUACCUCAACAAAUAGAGUAUGUGAGUAUUUUCUUAAUGUA